rnacentral:miRNA from 1 species
UAAAGUAAUUGUGGUUUUGGC